ACGCUCGACACCUACGGGAGCAGCAGUGGGGAAUAUUGCACAAUGGGGGAAACCCUGAUGCAGCGACGCCGCGUGAGCGAAGAAGUAUUUCGGUAUGUAAAGCUCUAUCAGCAGGGAAGAAACUGACGGUACCUGACUAAGAAGCACCGGCUAAAUACGUGCCAGCAGCCGCGGUAACUGAGCGGGCUGGCAAGGC
rnacentral:rRNA from 1 species